CCUAGAGUUUCAGUGUCUGAACUCUGAAAUCCCUAUAACCUACUCUUGCCCUCAGUCAGACUGCUGUUCAAACUAAGACAAGUUCUAGUUAAGUUUGAGAUCAAGAUUUAACUAUUGAAGUCGACUGCAGGGCGCAGGCAACGACUGGCAACCGGAGAUCAGAAAUUCAGCUUGAUCAGACUAAAGUAUGCUUCAUGAUGAAAAACGAAAGACAUCAAAC